rnacentral:rRNA from 1 species
UGGGGAAUAUUGGACAAUGGGCGAAAGCCUGAUCCAGCCAUGCCGCGUGUGUGAAGAAGGUCUUCGGAUUGUAAAGCACUUUAAGUUGGGAGGAAGGGCAGUAAGCGAAUACCUUGCUGUUUUGACGUUACCGACAGAAUAAGCACCGGCUAACUCUGUGCCAGCAGCCGCGGUAAUACAGAGGGUGCAAGCGUUAAUCGGAAUUACUGGGCGUAAAGCGCGCGUAGGUGGUUCGUUAAGUUGAAUGUGAAAGCCCCGGGCUCAACCUGGGAACUGCAUCCGAAACUGGCGAGCUAGAGUAGGGCAGAGGGUGGUGGAAUUUCCUGUGUAGCGGUGAAAUGCGUAGAUAUAGGAAGGAACACCAGUGGCGAAGGCGACCACCUGGGCUCAUACUGACACUGAGAUGCGAAAGCGUGGGGAGCAAACAGG